UUUCCUCGGCGGGUUCGCCCGCCGAUUGGACAAUUUAAACCAUUUGCAGUUGCAAUCAGCGUCUGAAAAAACAUAAUAGUUACAACUUUCAACAACGGAUCUCUUGGUUCUGGCAUCGAUGAAGAACGCAGCGAAAUGCGAUAAGUAGUGUGAAUUGCAGAAUUCAGUGAAUCAUCGAAUCUUUGAACGCACAUUGCGCCCCUUGGUAUUCCAUGGGGCAUGCCUGUUCGAGCGUCAUUUGUACCUUCAAGCUCUGCUUGGUGUUGGGUGUUUGUCUCGCCUCUGCGCGUAGACUCGCCUCAAAACAAUUGGCAGCCGGCGUAUUGAUUUCGGAGCGCAGUACAUCUCGCGCUUUGCAUUCAGAACGACGACGUCCAAAAGUACAUUUUUACACUCUUGACCUCGGAU
rnacentral:rRNA from 1 species